rnacentral:rRNA from 1 species
AGUGAACGCUGGCGGUAGGCCUAACACAUGCAAGUCGAACGGCAGCACAGUAAGAGCUUGCUCUUACGGGUGGCGAGUGGCGGACGGGUGAGGAAUACAUCGGAAUCUACUUUUUCGUGGGGGAUAACGUAGGGAAACUUACGCUAAUACCGCAUACGACCUACGGGUGAAAGCAGGGGAUCUUCGGACCUUGCGCGAUUGAAUGAGCCGAUUUCGGAUUAGCUAGUUGGCGGGGUAAAGGCCCACCAAGGCGCCGAUCCGUAGCUGGUCUGAGAGGAUGAUCAGCCACACUGGAACUGAGACACGGUCCAGACUCCUACGGGAGGCAGCAGUGGGGAAUAUUGGACAAUGGGCGCAAGCCUGAUCCAGCCAUACCGCGUGGGUGAAGAAGGCCUUCGGGUUGUAAAGCCCUUUUGUUGGGAAAGAAAAGCAGCAGGUUAAUACCCCGCUGUUCUGACGGUACCCAAAGAAUAAGCACCGGCUAACUUCGUG